AUUGCGGCUGGCCACAUUGCAGGUUAUAUGCACUUAAAUCCCUAUGUGGACUCGACUUCUGUAUAUGCGGACUUUUUAUUAAAUUUUCUGUACUCUACAAAGGCCAUCUGGGACUGGAGGCUCAACAUGGGAAAAGACAUUCCGGCAGAUCGGCUUUGAAAGUCAAAGAAGAUGGCCAUGGAGACAGCAGCGUGGUUGAAGUGGUAGGAGGCGGCCGUCAGCAAGAGCUGCUCUGUGCCUGGCAGCUGGAGGCUAGAG
rnacentral:lncRNA from 10 species